GACGAACGCUGGCGGCGUACUUAACACAUGCAAGUCGAACGGAAAGGCCCUGCUUUUGUGGGGUGCUCGAGUGGCGAACGGGUGAGUAACACGUGAGUAACCUGCCCUUGACUUUGGGAUAACUUCAGGAAACUGGGGCUAAUACCGGAUAGGAGCUCCUGCUGCAUGGUGGGGGUUGGAAAGUUUCGGCGGUUGGGGAUGGACUCGCGGCUUAUCAGCUUGUUGGUGGGGUAGUGGCUUACCAAGGCUUUGACGGGUAGCCGGCCUGAGAGGGUGACCGGCCACAUUGGGACUGAGAUACGGCCCAGACUCCUACGGGAGGCAGCAGUGGGGAAUAUUGCACAAUGGGCGGAAGCCUGAUGCAGCAACGCCGCGUGCGGGAUGACGGCCUUCGGGUUGUAAACCGCUUUCGCCUGUGACGAAGCGUGAGUGACGGUAAUGGGUAAAGAAGCACCGGCUAACUACGUGCCAGCAGCCGCGGUGAUACGUAGGGUGCGAGCGUUGUCCGGAUUUAUUGGGCGUAAAGGGCUCGUAGGUGGUUGAUCGCGUCGGAAGUGUAAUCUUGGGGCUUAACCCUGAGCGUGCUUUCGAUACGGGUUGACUUGAGGAAGGUAGGGGAGAAUGGAAUUCCUGGUGGAGCGGUGGAAUGCGCAGAUAUCAGGAGGAACACCAGUGGCGAAGGCGGUUCUCUGGGCCUUUCCUGACGCUGAGGAGCGAAAGCGUGGGGAGCGAACAGGCUUAGAUACCCUGGUAGUCCACGCUGUAAACGGUGGGUACUAGGUGUGGGGUCCAUUCCACGGGUUCCGUGCCGUAGCUAACGCUUUAAGUACCCCGCCUGGGGAGUACGGCCGCAAGGCUAAAACUCAAAGGAAUUGACGGGGCCCCGCACAAGCGGCGGAGCAUGCGGAUUAAUUCGAUGCAACGCGUAGAACCUUACCUGGGUUUGACAUGGAUCGGGAGUGCUCAGAGAUGGGUGUGCCUCUUUUGGGGUCGGUUCACAGGUGGUGCAUGGCUGUCGUCAGCUCGUGUCGUGAGAUGUUGGGUUAAGUCCCGCAACGAGCGCAACCCUUGUUCACUGUUGCCAGCACGUUAUGGUGGGGACUCAGUGGAGACCGCCGGGGUCAACUCGGAGGAAGGUGGGGAUGACGUCAAGUCAUCAUGUCCCUUAUGUCCAGGGCUUCACGCAUGCUACAAUGGCUGGUACAGAGAGUGGCGAGCCUGUGAGGGUGAGCGAAUCUCGGAAAGCCGGUCUCAGUUCGGAUUGGGGUCUGCAACUCGACCUCAUGAAGUCGGAGUCGCUAGUAAUCGCAGAUCAGCAACGCUGCGGUGAAUACGUUCCCGGG
rnacentral:rRNA from 1 species